rnacentral:sRNA from 1 species
GCUGGGUGCAGUGGCACACACCUGUAAUCCCAGCAGCUCCGGAGGCUGAGGCAGGAGGAUCAUGAAUUCAAAGCCAGCCACAACAACUUAGCAAUUCCCUAAGCAACUCAGGGAGACCCUGUCUCUA